CCCUUAGAUGUUCUGGGCUGCACGCGCGCUACACUGAAGCUAUCAACACGUUUUCCCUCCCUGAGAAGGGCGGGUAACCUUCUGAAUCAGCUUCGUGGUAGGGAUCGGGGCUUGCAAUUGUUCCCCGUGAACCAGGAAUUCCUAGUAGGCGCGAGUCAUAAGCUCGCAUCGAUUAAGUCCCUGCCCUUUGUACACACCGCCCGUCGCUACUACCGAUUGAACGUUUUAGUGAGGCAUUUGGACCGACGCAUCUCAGUUUAACCGCUGGUUUGUGUUGGAAAGACUUCCAAACUUGAGCGUUUAGAGGAAGUAAAAGUCGUAACA
rnacentral:rRNA from 1 species